AUGCUUAUGUAUGGUGUGUCAUGCAAGUAAAAUGGACCUAUGUGUUACGUAUUUUUACGUAAGUUUCUGUAUGAGUUUAGAGAUUCAUACUUGAAUGUAUUUUGAGUGUAUUGUUGUGUUAAUGAAUGUCUAGGAUCUUGUUCUCAACAAGGAAAUUCGUUGAGGUGCUCGAGGUAGCAAGUGUGGUCUUAGCAACUGAGGUAAGGGUAAGGCUAAGCAGUGAGAAUGAAGAGCUCGAGGCGUGGACCGCAUGUUAGGGGGCUGGCACAGUAUUUUGCUUUUAAUGUUUUUAACUGCUAAACAUUUUGGAACUAUUAUUUUGACUUAACUAGUUCUUAUUUAAGUUUGCAGUACUAAAAGUAUUUUGUUUUAAACAAUGAGAUCUCAUGCUUGGAUAUUUUUCAAUAAAGCAGUAUUUGAUUGUCUUUAUCUUAUUAAAUUAUUUUA